UGCUUGCAUCAUGAUUUACAUUUGAGUGAGUGGCGAACUGGUGAGUAACACGUGGGAAACCUGCCCAGAAGCGGGGGAUAACACCUGGAAACAGAUGCUAAUACCGCAUAACAACUUGGACCGCAUGGUCCGAGUUUGAAAGAUGGCUUCGGCUAUCACUUUUGGAUGGUCCCGCGGCGUAUUAGCUAGAUGGUGGGGUAACGGCUCACCAUGGCAAUGAUACGUAGCCGACCUGAGAGGGUAAUCGGCCACAUUGGGACUGAGACACGGCCCAAACUCCUACGGGAGGCAGCAGUAGGGAAUCUUCCACAAUGGACGAAAGUCUGAUGGAGCAACGCCGCGUGAGUGAAGAAGGGUUUCGGCUCGUAAAACUCUGUUGUUAAAGAAGAACAUAUCUGAGAGUAACUGUUCAGGUAUUGACGGUAUUUAACCAGAAAGCCACGGCUAACUACGUGCCAGCAGCCGCGGUAAUACGUAGGUGGCAAGCGUUGUCCGGAUUUAUUGGGCGUAAAGCGAGCGCAGGCGGUUUUUUAAGUCUGAUGUGAAAGCCUUCGGCUCAACCGAAGAAGUGCAUCGGAAACUGGGAAACUUGAGUGCAGAAGAGGACAGUG
rnacentral:rRNA from 2 species